UCCUUCUUACCACCUUCUCCCCGUGCCCGCUGCCGCCCGACCUCCUCCCCACCGCGCCGCCGGUCGGCCUCCUCCCAGCGCGCCUACGAUUGGCCUCUUCCCAGCGGGCCUCCGGUCAGCCUCCGCCCCCCCCCCCCCCCCCCCCCCCCCCCCCCCCCCCCCCCCCCCCCCGCGCGCCGCCGGCCGGCCUCCUCCUAGCGCACCUCCGGUCGGCCUCCUCCCCACCGCGCUGCCCGACCCUCUCCCCAUCGCUGGCAGCGUCUCCAUUCUGCUCCGGCCCCACCAGUUUCAGGCUGUUCAACGCCACCACCCGAAGCGGUUCACCGUAGCCGAACCCUGGAUCCCGCUGCCACCAUGUCUCUCUCCUGCUGCAGGACGGCUCAGCUACCUCACUUGGUGAGGGCAGAGCCUUUCAUUUAUGGAAUGCAAGUGUUCAUGAGGUAGGAGCGGAGAAGGAAGAUGGGAUCUGUUGGCUACGGUGGAGGUACCAGACUUUUAUAUGAUGAUGCUUACUGACAGAAGUAAAGAAGAUGGUGAACUGUGGGAGUACUUCCCUUGAUCUUUCAGCUACAUCAAGGUCGAAAAAGCCCUUCAUCUGAAUCCAUCUGCGGGAGGAACACUGCUUUGACAUCAGGAACGCUUUCCUCCACUAGAGCCACUGCGGCCCACGGCAGCCCAUGGUGGUGGAGUUCGUCGCGUCCAUCAAUCCAACCCCAUGGCUUUAGGGCGUCCGAGUUUUGUCGCGGCCAUCAGUUCAGAUACCUGCGUCAUUGUGUAUGUUGCAACCACGGCCAUUUGUGUCACUGCGUGCUCCGUCACUGGCCUCCUACGCAUCGUGACCCCUGCCGCACUCCUUCCUCUCCCUGAAGCUGCUCGUACCCUCCCAGGCUUGAUAUCCUACUGCAGCGAUGAGCUCCUGUACAUCACCGAAGUUCCAUACCCGCUCAAUGGCACCAACACGAGGAUGCAGCAGCUAGGCUGAACCCCAGUUUGUGCCUCAAGGUCAAGUACGCGGACGCCUGUAGAGGAGUGCAGGUUGUCCUGUGUGCCAAGUAUUGCCGGCAGCGAUGCCUGCUUACGUCUUCCUCGUGUGAUUCGCCAAGAUCGUGUCCUGCUCCUGAGAUAAGAAGAGCGACAACGAGAUGGAGAGCACGGUCUUUUUUUCAUGGAGCUGGCACUGUUGUAGUACGGCCUAGUCUAGUCUAAGCCCUCCAUGGUUGCUGCUGCUGUUUUGGCAACCAGGCUCACCCCCGAAGAAGACCCCUAUGUGGACUAACAAUCUAAAUUAUAGAUUUUUCAGAUCGGGGAAGGUGUGAAGCUUACCUGAUUGCUUGCUAAUUUGCAUGUUCUAUUUACCCGCUAUGCAUGUGUUGAUGUUGCUGCUUCUAGGAGCCCUAAAUUCAGGGUCAAUACCACGCUGACAAGCCAGGCAAUCGGCCUUUGCAUCACGAACUGUUGCAGUUUGAUCUUGCGCAAGCGGGAAAUUCCCUGAUGUCGAGUGUAUCAGUACCAACCUACGCUCCAAGCACGCCUCCUCCUGGUCGCCCAUCAGUUCUCUCGUUCCUUCCUGCUUCUCCUAACAUCACCAUAAAAGUAGCUAGAAAAAAUAUGUGGAUAAAAAGAGGAUUGCAGUGACAGUAAUUUUGUUGCCAUUUAUCUCUAUAGCAGAUUGCAUCCGCACAAAAAAUGCUACUGCAGUUUACUCUAUGUAAAAAUGAAUAAGGUUCAAUUCACAAAAACAUGUGGAAGUUCGUUUGGGAAAUUCCGCAGUCUAUUUGAUUACGCCAAGAUGUACAGGAUGACUAUUCUUUAUUGUGUGCCUUCGGCACAAUUUAUAUUUACUAGUGACCAUAUGUCUAAUGGUUUUUUUGCUUACGGAAAAACUAAUAUAUGAGGAUAUUUCAGGUUUCUUUGUGAAUUUGUAGUGUUACUGCACAUGAACUU